CUUCUUUCCUCCCGACCCCUCUGUCCUCCCGUCCCCUCAUCCCCUGCGCCGCCGGCCCUUACCACCGCUGCCCCUACCCUGCACCGGCGGCCCUCUGCAGCGCCGCCGCCCUGGGCUCCCGGCCUCGGUCCUCCUUGCCGAUUCGCGCCCGGAUCUGCGACAGAAUCGCGCCGCCGCCCCUUAUCGCUGCCGCCCCUACCCUACGCCGGCGACCCUCUGCAGCGCCGCUACCGUGGGCUCCCGGCGUCGCUCCUCCGUGCCUUUUUUUUUGCUAUGCAGAGCAGUCAGUGAAGGUCUACUGCUGUCGCCGCCCUAGAACAGCAGCGCCGCUGGACCCUAUUGGCGCCCCUGCCGGAGCAGCUCCGCACCGCCGCACUGAACCUGUUGGUAUGCUGCAGAUUAGUGGCGUCAUGGUCUAAGAUACUUAGAAAAAAUGAGAUGUAUUAGUCUGAGAUUAGUGGUCUGUGCAGAUUAGUGGUCUGUGCUGGAACAUGUAUUGGUAUAUUAUGAUAUUAAUCUAUUUGAUCUAAUAGUAAUACAAUUAUGUAGUUAAGAUACUUAGAGAAUAUAAGAAUUAUUGAAUUCUA